rnacentral:tRNA from 1 species
GCCUGAGUGGCUUAGUCGGUUGGGUGCCUGACUUCAGCUCAGGUCAUGAUCCUACAGUUUGUGGGUUCAAGCCUCACAUCGGGCU